GUGCUCAUUUCUGCAGCACAUAUACUAAAAUUUCGAAGGUUACAGAGAUUAGCACGGACACUGGGCAAGGAUGACACACAAAUUCAAGAAGCGUUCCAUAUUGGG
ensembl:snRNA U6 U6 spliceosomal RNA